ACAAACGCGAUGAAGAGAACAGUACAUCAAUGAAUCUUUCGUAGAGAGCUCCGUCUGGUGAAAAGGAGUAAAGAACGUUGAUCGAAACAAGCCUCUGAGCAGCGCUAUGGAACUCACCCCGAGGGAUGUGGCGACGGGAACUCCCGUUAUAGAGUUGAGGUAUAGUCCGAUUCAUUCGGCAGUACCGAAUAAGGUUCGUGCGGUGACGUACGGACGAACAGGGGUGGCACCACGAUGAGAAUCUCGUCCCCAAG
rnacentral:ncRNA from 1 species